rnacentral:rRNA from 1 species
CAGUAGCCGCGGGAAUACGUAGGUGGCAGGCGUUGUCCGGAAUUAUUGGGCGUAAAGGGCUCGCAGGCGGCUUCUUAAGUCUGAUGUGAAAGCCCCCGGCUCAACCGGGGAGGGUCAUUGGAAACUGGGAAACUUGAGUGCAGAAGAGGAGAGUGGAAUUCCACGUGUAGCGGUGAAAUGCGUAGAGAUGUGGAGGAACACCAGUGGCGAAGGCGACUCUCUGGUCUGUAACUGACGCUGAGGAGCGAAAGCGUGGGGAGCGAACAGGAUUAGAUACCCCGGUAGUCCCUGUCUCUUAUAC